UACAGAGGUCCCGAGCGUUGUUCGGAUUCACUGGGCGUAAAGGGUGCGCAGGCGGCUGGUCAAGUCCGAUGUGAAAGCUCCCGGCUUAACUGGGAAAUUGCAUCGGAAACUGAUCGGCUGGAAGGUGGGAGAGGGUAGCGGAAUUCCCGGUGUAGUGGUGAAAUGCGUAGAUAUCGGGAGGAACACCAGUGGCGAAAGCGGCUACCUGGCCCAUUCUUGACGCUGAGGCGCGAAAGCUAGGGGAGCAAACGGG
rnacentral:rRNA from 1 species